CAGCCGCCGCGGGAAUACAGAGGGUGCGAGCGUUAAUCGGAUUUACUGGGCGUAAAGCGUGCGUAGGCGGCUUCUUAAGUCGGAUGUGAAAUCCCUGAGCUUAACUUAGGAAUUGCAUUCGAUACUGGGAAGCUAGAGUAUGGGAGAGGAUGGUAGAAUUCCAGGUGUAGCGGUGAAAUGCGUAGAGAUCUGGAGGAAUACCGAUGGCGAAGGCAGCCAUCUGGCCUAAUACUGACGCUGAGGUACGAAAGCAUGGGGAGCAAACAGGAUUAGAUACCCGUGUAGUUCCUGUCUCUUAUAC
rnacentral:rRNA from 1 species